GUAGGGAAUAUUGCGCAAUGGGGGAAACCCUGACGCAGCGACGCCGCGUGAGUGAUGAAGGCCUUCGGGUCGUAAAGCUCUGUUGCAGGGGAAUAAAAAAAUGAAGGUACCCCGUGAGGAAGGAUCGGCUAACUUCGUGCCAGCAGCCGCGGUAAGACGAGGGAUCCUAGAGUUGCUCGGAAUCAUUGGGCGUAAAGAGGGCGUAGGUGGCUUGGUAAGUCAGGUGUGAAAGCCCAGGGCUCAACUCUGGAAGUGCAUUUGAUACUGGUGAGCUUGAGUGUCGGAGAGGUUACCGGAAUACCUGGUGUAGUGGUGAAAUACGUAGAUAUCAGGUGGAACACCGGAGGCGAAGGCGGGUAACUGGACGAACACUGACACUGAGGCCCGAAAGCGUGGGGAUCAAACAGGAUUAGAAACCCGUGUAGUCC
rnacentral:rRNA from 1 species